GGGAAGGUGUGUUUCUACAUUCUUACCAUAAUGCUACAUGUCAGAAUACUAGAUUGUUUCUUUUAAAGUUGAUUAUUUGUCUGUUCCUUAAGAAAACUAAAUACAAAAUGGAUUUUUAUAGUUCUUUAAACCUAGGGAAAUUUGUUUUCCAUUCUGAUCCAUAGUUCUAGAAUUUUUUUGGCAACCAAUUGAACUCUGUCAAUAAUUUCCCUCCAUCAGUCACUGCAGACUGCCAUGUGUUAGAACUUGUUCCCAUGAAAUAGCCUCAUUCUAGUUGAAAUAGCUUUAUAAUGUCCUGACCCUUUCUCUCACUUUUCUACUUGCCCUCUCUGCAACUCUAUUGAAAUUUGAAAGGAAAGAAAUCAGAAAGCUCGGGAGAUUUGAGAAUUUGUUAUCUAUUUGAAAAUUGAAGAACUUCAACCUUUUAGUCCUCCCUUUAUUAUUGCUCACC
rnacentral:misc_RNA from 1 species